rnacentral:misc_RNA from 1 species
GAUGAAGAAACGUAGCGAAAUGCGAUAAGUAGUGUGAAUUGCAGAAUUCAGUGAAUCAUCGAAUCUUUGAACGCACAUUGCGCCCCUUGGUAUUCCAUGGGGCAUGCCUGUUCGAGCGUCAUUUGUACCUUCAAGCUUUGCUUGGUGUUGGGUGUUUGUCUCGCCUUUGCGUGUAGACUCGCCUUAAAAUAAUUGGCAGCCGGCGUAUUGAUUUCGGAGCGCAGUACAUCUCGCGCUUUGCACUCAUAACGACAGCGUCCAAAAGUACAUUUUACACUCUUGACCUCGGAUCAGGUAGGGAUACCCGCUGAACUUAAGCAUAUCAAUAAGCGGAGGA